GUAUUUUUUUCCCUUUGAAUUCCGACCGUGUACUCUGUGAUGAGUGGAAAAUUUGUUAAACAUUUUCGAGGUGCUGAUGAUGAUGCUUGUGAUUUGCUUAUUUUUGCGGGAUGCCGACAGCUCCGAGUGUGAUUCUGGACCUCCGCUCGAGCCUCCACCUGGAUCAAAGUUGGGUACAGGAUUCAAUUAACCAGAUGCUGGAAGAAAGGUUAUCUGCGGUUCUUUGGCAAAACCCACAUACAUAAUUAAGAAGUAAAAUAACAGGAAUGAAUAAAUAUUUCGCUAGAACUAU